rnacentral:rRNA from 1 species
UGAACGCUGGCGGUAUGCUUAACACAUGCAAGUCGAACGGAAACGAUACUAGCUUGCUAGUAGGCGUCGAGUGGCGGACGGGUGAGUAACGCGUAGGAAUCUGCCUGAUAGUGGGGGAUAGCCCGAAGAAAUUCGGAUUAAUACCGCAUAAUCUAUUCGUAGUAAAGUGGGGGACUUUCGAGCCUCACGCUAUCAGAUGAGCCUGCGUAAGAUUAGCUUGUUGGUAGGGUAAAAGCCUACCAAGGCGACGAUCUUUAGCUGGUCUGAGAGGAUGAUCAGCCACAUCGGGACUGAGACACGGCCCGAACUCCUACGGGAGGCAGCAGUGGGGAAUAUUGGACAAUGGGGGCAACCCUGAUCCAGCAAUACCGCGUGUGUGAAGAAGGCCUGAGGGUUGUAAAGCACUUUCAAUUGUGAAGAAAAGUUAGCGGUUAAUAACCGUUAGCCUUGACGUUAACUUUAGAAGAAGCACCGGCUAACUCCGUGCCAGCAGCCGCGGUAAUACGGAGGGUGCAAGCGUUAAUCGGAAUUACUGGGCGUAAAGCGUGCGUAGGCGGUUUAUUAAGUCAGAUGUGAAAGCCCCGGGCUUAACCUGGGAACUGCAUUUGAAACUGGUCAACUAGAGUAUGGUAGAGGAAAGUGGAAUUUCUGGUGUAGCGGUGAAAUGCGUAGAUAUCAGAAGGAACAUCAAUGGCGAAGGCAGCUUUCUGGACCAAUACUGACGCUGAGGUACGAAAGCGUGGGUAGCAAACAGGAUUAGAUACCCUGGUAGUCCACGCCGUAAACGAUGAUAACUAGCCGUUGGGGGGAUUUACCCCUUAGUGGCGAAGCUAACGCGUUAAGUUAUCCGCCUGGGGAGUACGGCCGCAAGGUUAAAACUCAAAGGAAUUGACGGGGACCCGCACAAGCGGUGGAGCAUGUGGUUUAAUUCGAUGCAACGCGAAGAACCUUACCUGGUCUUGACAUCCUGCGAACUUUCUAGAAAUAGAUUGGUGCCUUCGGGAACGCAGUGACAGGUGCUGCAUGGCUGUCGUCAGCUCGUGUCGUGAGAUGUUGGGUUAAGUCCCGUAACGAGCGCAACCCCUAUCCUUAUUUGCCAGCACAUCAUGGUGGGAACUAUAAGGAGACUGCCGGUGAUAAACCGGAGGAAGGCGGGGACGACGUCAAGUCAUCAUGGCCCUUACGACCAGGGCUACACACGUGCUACAAUGGGAAGGACAAAGAGCCGCGAAGCCGCGAGGUGUAGCUAAUCUCAUAAACCUUUUCGUAGUCCGGAUUGGAGUCUGCAACUCGACUCCAUGAAGUCGGAAUCGCUAGUAAUCGUAGAUCAGAAUGCUACGGUGAAUACGUUCCCGGGUCUUGUACACACCGCCCGUCA